UCUUCACAGGACACUUACACAUUGAAAUACAUACAGCCAAGGGCUGCUGAGCUGUUGGCCUUCCGGAAGCUUAAGCACUUCAUCUUUUCUCUGGCAUGUGGUCUCUGUGGGUCCUCAGAUGCCAGGAUCACAUGUUCGCUGCUCACUGAGCUCUUAGGAAGCCCCUGUGCUACCCUGUAGUUCCGGAGGCCAGAAGUGUAUAAUAAGUCUUAAGGGGCUGAAAUCAAGGCAUUGGCAGGGCUGGUUGCUUCUAAAGACUCCAGGGAAGAACUAUGCCUUGCCUCUUCCAGCGACUGGUGGCUGUUGGAUCCCUCAACUUGAGUUUGCAUCACUCCAAUCUCUGCUUUCAUCAUCUCAUUGCCUU
rnacentral:lncRNA from 10 species